AUCCAGAUGACGAGUCCCAAAUAGGACGAAACGCGCGUCGUGGAU
rnacentral:hammerhead_ribozyme from 1 species